UAGGGAAUCUUCCACAAUGGGCGAAAGCCUGAUGGAGCAACGCCGCGUGUGUGAUGAAGGGUUUCGGCUCGUAAAACACUGUUGUAAGAGAAGAAUGACAUAGAGAGUAACUGUUCAAUGUGUGACGGUAUCUUACCAGAAAGGAACGGCUAAAUACGUGCCAC
rnacentral:rRNA from 1 species